rnacentral:rRNA from 1 species
CAGUCGCCACGGUAAUACGUAGGUGGCAAGCGUUGUCCGGAAUUAUUGGGCGUAAAGGGCUCGCAGGCGGUUUCUUAAGUCUGAUGUGAAAGCCCCCGGCUCAACCGGGGAGGGUCAUUGGAAACUAGGAAACUUGAGUGCAGAAGAGGAGAGUGGAAUUCCACGUGUAGCGGUGAAAUGCGUAGAGAUGUGGAGGAACACCAGUGGCGAAGGCGACUCUCUGGUCUGUAACUGACGCUGAGGAGCGAAAGCGUGGGGAGCGAACAGGAUUAGAUACCCGUGUAGUCCCUGUCUCUUAUAA